CGUAGGUAACCUGCCCCGGAGCGGGGGAUAACAUUUGGAAACAGAUGCUAAUACCGCAUAACAACAAAAGCCACAUGGCUUUUGUUUUGAAAGAUGGCUUUGGCUAUCACUCUGGGAUGGACCUGCGGUGCAUUAGCUAGUUGGUAAGGUAACGGCUUACCAAGGCGAUGAUGCAUAGCCGAGUUGAGAGACUGAUCGGCCACAAUGGAACUGAGACACGGUCCAUACUCCUACGGGAGGCAGCAGUAGGGAAUCUUCCACAAUGGGCGCAAGCCUGAUGGAGCAACACCGCGUGAGUGAAGAAGGGUUUCGGCUCGUAAAGCUCUGUUGUUGGAGAAGAACGUGCGUGAGAGUAACUGUUCACGCAGUGACGGUAUCCAACCAGAAAGUCACGGCUAACUACGUGCCAGCAGCCGCGGUAAUACGUAGGUGGCAAGCGUUAUCCGGAUUUAUUGGGCGUAAAGCGAGCGCAGGCGGUUUGCUUAGGUCUGAUGUGAAAGCCUUUCGGCUUAACCGAAGAAAGUGCAUCGGAAACCGGGCAACUUGAAGUGCAGAAAGAGGACAGUGGAACUCCAUGUGUAGCGGGUGGAAUGCGUAGAU
rnacentral:rRNA from 1 species